rnacentral:rRNA from 1 species
GAUGAACGCUGGCGGCGUGCCUAAUACAUGCAAGUCGAGCGAACAGACGAGGAGCUUGCUCCUCUGACGUUAGCGGCGGACGGGUGAGUAACACGUGGAUAACCUACCUAUAAGACUGGGAUAACUUCGGGAAACCGGAGCUAAUACCGGAUAAUAUAUUGAACCGCAUGGUUCAAUAGUGAAAGACGGUUUUGCUGUCACUUAUAGAUGGAUCCGCGCCGCAUUAGCUAGUUGGUAAGGUAACGGCUUACCAAGGCAACGAUGCGUAGCCGACCUGAGAGGGUGAUCGGCCACACUGGAACUGAGACACGGUCCAGACUCCUACGGGAGGCAGCAGUAGGGAAUCUUCCGCAAUGGGCGAAAGCCUGACGGAGCAACGCCGCGUGAGGGAUGAAGGUCUUCGGAUCGUAAAACUCUGUUAUUAGGGAAGAACAAAUGUGUAAGUAACUAUGCACGUCUUGACGGUACCUAAGCAGAAAGCCACGGCUAACUACGUG